CGCAGCAGAGGUGGCUUAUGGAGGAGCUCCGGCUUAAUUGUACUGGAAGAAGUCUCAGAGCUCAGACAUUUUCCUGGACUCUAAUGGGCAGAAUGGCUCACCCUUCCCUUGUAGUUGCUUCCAUACCAUCUUCUGGAUUACAAUUUCCUCCAACCUGUUUCAUCUGUAAGUAUA
rnacentral:lncRNA from 1 species